rnacentral:snRNA from 1 species
CUUUGAUCGUACGGACCUGAAA